AUUGAACGCUGGCGGCAUGCUUUACACAUGCAAGUCGAACGGUAACAGGCCGAAAGGUGCUGACGAGUGGCGAACGGGUGAGUAAUGCAUCGGAACGUGCCCAGUCGUGGGGGAUAACGCAGCGAAAGCUGCGCUAAUACCGCAUACGAUCUAUGGAUGAAAGCGGGGGACCGAAAGGCCUCGCGCGAUUGGAGCGGCCGAUGUCAGAUUAGGUAGUUGGUGGGGUAAAGGAUCACCAAGCCGACGAUCUGUAGCUGGUCUGAGAGGACGACCAGCCACACUGGGACUGAGACACGGCCCAGACUCCUACGGGAGGCAGCAGUGGGGAAUUUUGGACAAUGGGCGCAAGCCUGAUCCAGCAAUGCCGCGUGCAGGAAGAAGGCCUUCGGGUUGUAAACUGCUUUUGUACGGAACGAAAAGGCUCUGGUUAAUACCUGGGGCUCAUGACGGUACCGUAGAAUAAGCACCGGCUAACUACGUGCCAGCCGCCACUGUAACAC
rnacentral:rRNA from 1 species